rnacentral:snRNA from 1 species
AGAGAAUCGCUUGAACCCAGGAGGCAGAGGUUGCAGUGAGCUGAGAUCGUGCCACUGCACUCCAACCUGGGUGACAGAG